rnacentral:rRNA from 1 species
UACAGAGGUGGCAAGCGUUGUUCGGAAUUACUGGGCGCAAAGGGCGCGUAGGCGGUCUUUUAAGUCUUGUGUGAAAUCCCUCGGCUCAACUGAGGAACUGCACGGGAUACUGGAAGACUUGAGUUCGGGAGAGGGAAGCGGAAUUCCGGGUGUAGCGGUGAAAUGCGUAGAUAUCCGGAGGAACACCGGUGGCGAAGGCGGCUUCCUGGACCGAUUACUGACGCUGAGGCGCGAAAGCUAGGGGAGCAAACAGG